UACGUAGGGUGCGAGCGUUGUCCGGAAUUAUUGGGCGUAAAGAGCUUGUAGGCGGUCUGUCGCGUCUGCUGUGAAAAUCCGGGGCUCAACCCCGGACUUGCAGUGGGUACGGGCAGACUAGAGUGUGGUAGGGGAGACUGGAAUUCCUGGUGUAGCGGUGAAAUGCGUAGAUAUCUGGAGGAACACCGGUGGCGAAGGCGGCAUCCUGGACCGGCAUUGACGCUGAGGCGCGAAAGCCAGGGGAGCAAACGGG
rnacentral:rRNA from 1 species